UUUCCGUAGGUGAACAUGCGGAAGGAUCAUUACAGAGUUCAUGCCCUCACGGGUAGAUCUCCCACCCUUGAAUAUUUAUACCUUAGUUGCUUUGGCAGGCCGUGGAAACACCAUGGGCUCCGGCUUAUGCGUGCCUGCCAGAGGAAACAAACUCUGCUUUUAGUGAUGUCUGAGUACUAUAUAAUAGUUAAAACUUUCAACAACGGAUCUCUUGGUUCUG
rnacentral:misc_RNA from 1 species